GGUGAGAUGGCCGAGUUGGUUAUGGCGCCAGGUUAAGGUAUACCUUAAUUCAACAAUAUCCUGAAUAUCAACAAUAUCCUGGUGGAGCAAUCCUCGUGGGUUCAAAUCCCACUCUCAUCA